UGCCACUGUCAACUUAUCUGUAUUCUAAACUCCAUCCUAUGAUUGUUUAUUGUCUAAUAAAUGAUAUAGCAUAUCAUUUCUCUUUUUUGUGUGAUGUAUACUGUUUUUUCAACUAAUGUGUUCUUUUUUUUCAUGUGAAAUAGCAUACAUGCUUUCUUGUUUCCUCAUAGAGUGGUAUUAUUUUUUGUAGGAUUUAUCAGCGAUUUUGCAUGCAUCACUGAUUUUAGUUGCUGCUUCCACCGGUUCAAAAGGAGUUGUUUUGUCUACAGUUGCUACAGCCCAUGGAAAGAUAGGGGUAAGUUCUAGCCUGAAUUGCUACAUCCACUCUUCACAAAAAACUGAGAAAUCCAAGUAUUUCAUCGGAAAAGCCAUUGACAAUAUAGGUUGGUAAGAUUUCUGCAAAGAAGUGUCCUUCUUUGAUUUUAAGACAUGCAUAUUAGCCAGUGGCUCAAUUCAAGAACAAUGCUCUCUCACCGCGAACAACACAAUCCUGGUUAAUGGUUGACAAGUGGAGCAAAAGGUUACUCUGAAGCUGCAUUUUCAUCAUCGUUAGGAAAUGUUUAGGUAUUUCCCAAUUCACUAAAUCAUUAUAUUGAGAGAAGCAAGAAAAGAAUUAUGCAUAUCAUUGUAUAUUUCAGUAUUAUAUAAAAUAUCACAUAUAUGUAGAGAAUUAUGGGAUCUACCAGAGAGAGAGAGAGAGAGAGAGAUCAGAUCUUGGUACUGGUAUUUUUUACAAGCUUAUUCGAAUGGAAAUAGGUUUAGUUAAUAAUAUUCUGGCUUUUGUUUACAAAUCUAAUUCCAUUAUGCAUGACCAAUCUUCACGAUUUUGUUUGAGUUGCCAUGGAGGAACCUCAUUUAUCUUUCUCUUGUAUUCCUCCUAGAUCAUAUAGGAAUUUGAUUUAUUAAAGGUAUGCUUGCCAGACUCAUAAUUUGUUAGUGAUCGCAUGGUAUCUCCAUUUAGUAUUCUUAAUGCCCAAUUUGUUAAUCCAUCCUUCAAGCUGUGCUGAUCAUUAUGUCUAUUGUUGGACAGGUACAUUAUUUUGUAGCCCCACAAAAGGCACAUACAUACCCAUUGCAUAAGGUAUUGUUCUUUAUACUAGCAAACAUAUUGAUUGCAAAUUGUUAUAAGAGAUUUUCAUUUUGGCUUCGCAAUCUGCUUGUAGGCAUGACUUAUCUUGUUUAUAUUACCUGUUCUUCCGAGUUUCAAGGGCAAAAGUUCUCAUGUUGACAUAGAGGAAAUUCUUGUAACAAUGAAUAUAUAUGUGUUGACGACAAUUCUGAUUGCCUACAUAAAACGGUGUAUAUUUCCGGUUGUAGCUUCUUUUAGGUGCCAUAUUGUGUAUGGUGAUGAUGUAGCUUCUAUCAAUAUUUGGUCACAUCGGAGCAAGGUCAAGAAACAUUGUCCAUUGUAUUAUGUAUAACGAUGAUGUCUUUGAUGAAAAGAUUCUCACAACUUUGGUACACAUGUUUGCUCUUAGAUUAGGCUAAGGAUUUAGAUUAUCUCUUCAUCUAUGAGUUUUGGAUUUACAAGAUGCAGAAACAGUAGAAUACAAGCAAGAGAAGGGAUUCAGUUCUAUCAGACCAUCAAAAUUCAGAAAUGAAGUUACAAAGAAUCUUGCUUUCUUCUUGACCUGAGCGAAGAAGAGAAUACAUGAGGUACGGGCAUGUUUAACCCAAGGU